AAUGAACGCUGGCGGCAGGCCUAACGCAUGCAAGUCGAACGGGAUCUUCGGAUCUAGUGGCGGACGGGUGAGUAACGCGUGGGAACGUGCCCUUUGCUUCGGAAUAGCCCCCGGGAAACUGGGGAGUAAUACCGGAUGUGCCCUUUGGGGGAAAGAUUUAUCGGCAAAGGAUCGGCCCGCGUUGGAUUAGGUAGUUGGUGGGGUAAUGGCCUACCAAGCCGACGAUCCAUAGCUGGUUUGAGAGGAUGAUCAGCCACACUGGGACUGAGACACGGCCCAGACUCCUACGGGAGGCAGCAGUGGGGAAUCUUAGACAAUGGGGGAAACCCUGAUCUAGCCAUGCCGCGUGAUCGAUGAAGGCCUUAGGGUUGUAAAGAUCUUUCAGAUGGGAAGAUAAUGACGGUACCAUCAGAAGAAGCCCCCGGCUAAACUCCGUG
rnacentral:rRNA from 1 species